GAGAUAGGAUUUUGACUUCAAGUGAGGAAUAAACUCCCAGAAGAUGCCUACCAGUGCCACAAUGACUGUAAAUCCUCUGAGGCAAGGAGCAUCUUCCCAUCAUAUAGUUGCACAGAUCAGGGGCCUCUAAGUGCUACUGCAAUACAGCACUCUCUGAUAUUUACUGUGAAGGUUCCCGAAACUGACGGAGGGAAGCCAACACAAAUUUAUCCUCCUUAAGAUCCACUCAACCCAAGUCCAUAAGAUGAUCACCUACAAUCAUGUGAAGCAUGGAUAGUGCAUGAAGCAGAAAGCGGCAUGUGUGCUAAAAUACACAAUUGUAUGUAUGUACAGAUCAAAAGAUGAAAGAACACAAUAACAUAGGAGUAUGAGCUUGGCAGGAUUGCUUCACGACACUGCCAUCUCUGACCACAUAUUUUUCCCCAUUUUAUCAGCAAUGAGAUUAUUUAUGUGUUUAAAGAAGUUAUGAAGACAUGGUCAGAAUUUUACCAGUAGCAGCUGGCCAACAAAACGCUGCCUUAGGAGACUAAUAGCAGAUUUACUCAUAGAAAUACUAAUUUUACAAGUGCAAUUAUCAUUUUUC